GUAAGUACCCACUCUGUGCUGUGUCAGACUCUGGGGGCAAAUGUUCACUUGGACUUGGAUACUGGCUUCUUGUAACUUGGUCUUCUUGGGUCUUCAGUUUCGUCAUCUAUAACAGAGCCAGUGUCCUCUAAGAGUCCUGAGAUUCUGUGGUUGUCUGAGGAAGGAAACAUGGCUUUCCCAACUUUGGUGCUAUUGGGCUGGAUGAUUCUUUAUUGUGGGGACUAUCUUGUCAUUGUAGGAUAUUAAGCAGCACUGCUGGCCUCUACCCAUUAGCUACCAGUAGCAACUCCCCAUUCCCAGUUUUGAUAAUAAAAAUGUCUCCAGACUUUAACAAAUAUUUCUCAGGGGGGUAAAACUAUCCUGGUAAGAACCACUGGUUUAAAAUCAUGACUGAGGCUCACACACGCCUGGCCAGGGGUUUUCCCAGGACUCUCUUAGUGAGCAGCCUUGGACUUGGCCCUGGGAUUUAUAGUCUUUAGGCUGAGGCUUGGGGCCUAGGUCUUCACUAUCCAUGGCUGCAUGAGACAAUGGAAUCCUAUCCUCUAAAGUCUUUCCUGCUCCAGGAAUUUAGGUCUCAUUAAUUCAGUGAUCAGGUAAGGUCUGAAUCUCACAGCUGGAAGCCCACUCUGUUGGGGGUUGGAGAGUGGCCUGAGGGGACAGGAACAAGGCUGGGGUCUGGAGGGUGUCAGGGGGCAUGGAGGGAAGGCCCUGGGCCUUACGUCACUUCGUGGUGUGCUUGGGCAAGUUCUCAGCUCUUUGUGUCCCAGUUUUCUCAUCAACGGGAAUGAUGGUGAUGACCCACCUUCCAGGAUUCUUAUAUCAGUGGAUCAGGGAGGAUCCCACCUGAAAGUGCUUCUAUGAAAAGGAUGUGCCAAAGGGACUAUUCACACAGUUAGGCCAGGACAAAGGGAAUGAGAGGGACUGUGAGGCACACCUGGGCUGGCAAAAGCAGGAAAUGAUUAUCCUUUCUCCUCACUGGGUUGAAGGGGCUGGGGCAGGGCGGUGGCUGGGGCAGAUAUAUACAGAGGACUGAGAGUUGGCAUCUUAGAGCCCCUCCU
rnacentral:lncRNA from 1 species